rnacentral:rRNA from 1 species
CUGGCUCAGGACGAACGCUGGCGGCGUGCCUAAUACAUGCAAGUCGAGCGGAUUAAUGGGAGCUUGCUCCCGUUAGUUAGCGGCGGACGGGUGAGUAACACGUGGGCAACCUACCUGUAAGACUGGGAUAACUUCGGGAAACCGGAGCUAAUACCGGAUGACAUAAAGGAACUCCUGUUCCUUUAUUGAAAGAUGGCUUCGGCUAUCACUUACAGAUGGGCCCGCGGCGCAUUAGCUAGUUGGUGAGGUAACGGCUCACCAAGGCGACGAUGCGUAGCCGACCUGAGAGGGU